AGUGAACGCUGGCGGUAGGCCUAACACAUGCAAGUCGAACGGCAGCACAGUAAGAGCUUGCUCUUACGGGUGGCGAGUGACGGACGGGUGAGGAAUACAUCGGAAUCUACUUUUUCGUGGGGGAUAACGUAGGGAAACUUACGCUAAUACCGCAUACGACCUACGAGUGAAAGCAGGGGAUCUUCGGACCUUGCGCGAUUGAAUGAGCCGAUGUCGGAUUAGCUAGUUGGCGGGGUAAAGGCCCACCAAGGCGACGAUCCGUAGCUGGUCUGAGAGGAUGAUCAGCCACACUGGAACUGAGACACGGUCCAGACUCCUACGGGAGGCAGCAGUGGGGAAUAUUGGACAAUGGGCGCAAGCCUGAUCCAGCCAUACCGCGUGGGUGAAGAAGGCCUUCGGGUUGUAAAGCCCUUUUGUUGGGAAAGAAAAGCAGCAGGUUAAUACCCCGCUGUUCUGACGGUACCCAAAGAAUAAGCACCGGCUAACUUCGUG
rnacentral:rRNA from 1 species